GCCGGUGUGGCGCAGGGGUAGCGCAGGCGAUUUGUAAUCGUCAGGUCGAGGGUUCGAAUCCCUCCACCGGCU
rnacentral:tRNA from 2 species